UCUGCUAGCUGGGUUACUACGCUUCAAAGAAAGAUAAUCGUAACAAGGCGACAGAUUUCCCAUUUGACUCACGAACUGGACAAAACUUGCGAACUAAAAGAUCAGCUUACCCGUGAAAACAAGAAAUUGGGCGAUGAGAACGCUGAGCUUAAGAGCCAGUACUCUGAACUCAACUGCAGAUUCCAUGAGUUAGAAAUUGAAUAUCGCCGUCUAGAAAAUGAACGUGAAGAGUUGGCAUACAAAGAAAUUCAGAGGCUGCUCGUAACGGUGAAGAAUAUCGCGUUCCACUCAUGGAGUUGCAGCUGAGAUGAACGAAUUCAUCUCGAUAUGGAACACUUCAUGAUAAGGAGGAAGAGCUCGAGUCUAUCAAGUAAUUUUAUCGGCUUUAGCGCUAAAGUAAUUCCAUUUGAGUCACUUAUUCACUCCCAAACGAUUUUGAAAAGAAGCAAAUGUCUAUAUCUAAAUCAACCAGUUGAACUCUCGUCUUGUCCAUGCGGAAACCAAGUUGAAAACCGAAAUUCAGCGCAUCCGGAAGAAGAUGAUGAUCACAAUCACCGAGUUGGAAAUGACAUUCGACGUUGCAAACAAAAACAACAUAUCGAGCAAUCCCUGCAAAUUGUCGUAAAUUUUUAGGCAACUAUCCAAUUAUCUGGUUUUUUGCAUAUUAUCAGUUUCUACUCUUGAUAUGUUGUAUUGAAAUUUGGCAAAGUUUUCAUUUUGUAUAAUUUAAAGGAAAACAAUAAAUAUCUUGAGAUUUAUUUUUAUCAAA